GCCGAGAUCACGCCACUGAACUCCAGCCUGGGAGUGAGAGUGAGACUCCGUCUAAAAAAAAAAAAAAAAACUCUACACUAGAUGCAACUCAUUCUAAAGAACAGACUUAUUAAAAAGGUAAUUCAGUCAUUUAUACCUUAGUAUUUCUGAUGUAAAAUUAAACUAGGAAAGAGAGAGCUGAAAAAGGUUAGAGUCUGGGAAAACUAGGAUACAAUAUUUUUAAAAAUCCUUUUGUCUUAAUGAUAAAUGGACUCCUCAGGUGGUGAAAGCAAGUUUGAUUGUUUUUGUUAUAGAAGCUUGAGUCUACAUUCCUGUAAUAUAAACCAUUCUGCUGCAGUAUCAUGCUCCAUAACUUCCUAAGUUCCCAGUUCAGGAAGAGAGUGCACUUAAGGAAAUGUUGAGAAAGGGCUCAGGAAAUCAACCCCUAGAAGUGACUGCCCUUCCAUCGGAUGCUCAUGUAGCUGGAGAUGACACCUCCCCAUCCUGACUUGAUGAUUUCUUCAUGGAGCAGUGGAAAGAACGUAGUCCAGAAAUUAGAAGGUUUUGGUCCAUGGCACAGCUGAGCACUGACAACACAUCCUUCCCUGGGCUUAUUCCAUCUGAGAGGGAGAUGCACAUGUAUGAUUUCUUCUACGGUCAUUCUGAAGAUCGGUGUCAUCAAUAAUUUGGGCUUGGGACUAUCCAGUUUCACAGGGGCAUUCAGUUGAUUGAAAAUCCAAUAUCAAUAUUGUUUAUAGUAUCAAAACAAUCUACCGAUCAAAGUCUCUAAAAUUACUACAAAAACCUAUUUGAUAUCCUAUGGCAUUGCCCAAUUUAAAUUAUUUAUAAAAUAUGCAGUAAAUGUGUAUGCCAGAAAAUCAAUGUCCUAGGCAUUGACUCCUAAUUAAUUGUUUGAAAUAUUUUCAUAAUAGUGAAUGAGCACAGUGUUUGCCUGACCUCUACGAGGAAGAGGAGGAAGUAGAAGCAGAACAAAGGAAAGGAGGAAGAGGAAGAGAAAUAAGAAAGGCUGAGAGGGUUGAAAGACUUUAAGGGGGGCUAGUAAGAAAAUUGUAGGCCUCUAGAAUUGUACACAGGCCAGCCUUUCCUUCUCAUCUACUUCACUUUCCUAAAAAUCAAUUUUAAGCUAGACAAAAAAUGUGCAGAGACCAACUUUAAGUGGAUCCAAGGCAGUAAUUUGAGCUGAUUCCAUCAAAUUAUAGAUGCAUGAGAAGCAUGCAUUUUCUAAAGAAUAACAACGCUGCAACAAACAUUUUUGAAGGAACUACUAAAAUAUUUCCAUCUCUAAACUCAUCCUCUUCCACUUCAGAUGAUUUCUUUUCCAUUUCAUUCUAUUCUCUGAAGCAAAAACCAGAGGAAAGAAAUCUGAUGGAAUGAAAUUCUGCUAGCAACCAUCUGAAAGUAUAAAUGAGGGAGAAAGUCCAAGAUUUAAAAAUUCAAGCAAAUUUUCUUGCCUGUUGGAAGGAAGAGCUCUCAAAUAAAGAGAUAAUCAAGAGACAUAUUACAGGGCAUCAAGAGCCAUGAAAGUAAAUCAGCAAACUGGAUAAUUUCUUGCAGAUUAGAAACAUCUCCCUGAAUCACAGUUGAAGCAAAGGGGAUGAUGCCAGGUCUGACUCCUACUUGGAAAAUCAUAAUCCCAUGUUUCCUCUUGCCUGGGCAACUGUGGAGCUGUGACAUGCCUGUGUGCAGCCCACUGCACAAUCAGCAGACCUCAGGCAAAUCCAGCUCCAAGCUGCACCUAGCACCUUUAAUGAAGUGACUGAUUAAAUAAAAGCAUCCCCCUUUUGUUAAGCAAUACUUUCUGAAGCAGCAUGG
rnacentral:lncRNA from 10 species